UAUAACAAAAAAUGACAAAUUACAAAAUGACAAAUAUAGUAACACAGUAACUUGGAUACAUAACUUUUCAUGAUUACUGGAUUGUAAAAAGUAACACGUUAGAUUACUCGUAAAAAGGGGUCAGAUUAUUGUUUAUGACAUUUUUGCUCAAGCUAUUUACGGAUCUGUCAGGUUUUCCGAUAUGUGUCUCCCCCAAUCACAAACUUGUUCCUACACCCUUGGCCACACAGGCACACCCAAUUGAAGGAAGCAAACGCACCCAGUAUAACAUCUUCAUUUUAUUGGCUGAGAGGUUGUCAGGUGACGGCACUUUUUUGUUUAAAGAUGGAGCAGAAAAGAAUUAGCAAAUGAGUAGAGAGGUACUAAGCCCCCUAAGGGACAAGGGGGAAAAAAAUUCUUUUGUGUUACCUCGCAAAACUUCGCGAUACUUUUACGUUACCUUGCAAUAUGCUUACUGCAAUAUUUGCUGGUCUAUUUUGUAUGCAGUCACAAAUGUCAAUUUAAAAUUUCAAAUGUAUACACAUGUAAGGAGCCUCAGUGUUUACUCCUAACUCCCUUAUUGACUGCAUGUUUAUAUCUGUUUGUGUAUAGUUGAGAUGGAACUGCACACAAAAGUGACUCUUUGUUUAAACCAUUUAGAUUACCAACACAAAAGAGACACAAUCAAAACUGUCAGAUGACUCAUUACUCCGCGAUAAUAACUCAGAAAUAGUCCAGAUUGCUUGGAUGUAUUUUUUUUUCCUACUUAAGGAAAGUUUGUGCUUACAUCAUUGAUUUGUGGUGCAUUUCUAUCGUAAAGAAAGAGAUAUAAAACUUCAGAUAUUUUACAAGAUAUUUACAUGGAAAAACCUUACGAUAUAAUAGCAGAAAGUACAAUGGCCACUGUAAGAAAGGCUUCCAGUAUUCAAUUAUGCUGCAUGAACUGAUCAGUACAUUAUUGGAAGAGAACGCAAAA